CUCCUCCUUCUUCUUCUCCUCCUCCUCCUCAUUCUUCUUCUUCUUCUUCUUCUUCUUCUUCUUCUCCUUCUUCUUCUACUCUUUCUUCUCCUCUUUCUUAUUCUCCUUAGAUUAUUUUCCCCAAGAAAGACAUACUUAGCUAAUUAUCAUCCUAAAUGACAUAAUUAGCUAAUUUAGUUCAUUUUGACAUAAUUAGCUUAGUUAGGUCAAAAAUCAUCACAAGAACCUUGGUUAGCUCAUAACUUAGCGUAUCUUCCUUGUGAAUGACAUAAUAAGCUCAA
rnacentral:lncRNA from 1 species